rnacentral:lncRNA from 1 species
GAAGAAUUUUUCCAGGAUAGGUCCAUCACAAAUAAACCAAUCAUUGGCUCCACCUAUUCCUACUUAUAGUGCCCCUAUCCCUCAGCAAACUACAUCAUUGGAAGCCAUGAUGGCUAACAUGAUGAAGCAGCAACAAGACUUCAUCCAACAACAACAACAGACCAACAUGGCUCAAACCCAGACUAACCAAUUCCAUGCGCAAGCGAUUGCAAAACUUGAGAUUAGUCUGAGCCAAAUAGCCAACUCUCUAGGGGAUAGGAAGAAAGGUGAAUUGCCCA